rnacentral:rRNA from 1 species
GGUCAAGCGAUUAAGCGCAUACGGUGGAUGCCUUGGCAGCCAGAGGCGAUGAAGGACGUGAUAGCCUGCGAUAAGCGUUGGCGAGGUGGCAAAUACCCUGCGACCCAACGAUUUCCGAAUGGGGAAACCCACUCACCAUCAGGUGAGUAUCUAUAGGCCAAUACAUAACCUAUAGAGGCAAACCCGGGGAACUGAAACAUCUAAGUACCCGGAGGAAAAGAAAUCAACCGAGAUUCCCCAAGUAGCGGCGAGCGAACGGGGACCAGCCCUUAAGCGAUACAACUGACAGACGAACAAGCUGGGAAGCUUGACGAUACAGGGUGAUAGUCCCGUAGUCGAAGUCUGAGUAUCGUGAAAUCGAGUAGGUCGGGGCACGAGAAACCUUGACUGAACAUGGGGGGACCAUCCUCCAAGGCUAAAUACUCCUGGCUGACCGAUAGUGAACCAGUACCGUGAGGGAAAGGCGAAAAGAACCCCGGCGAGGGGAGUGAAAUAGAUCCUGAAACCGUAUGCGUACAAGCAGUGGGAGCACCUUCGUGGUGUGACCGCGUACCUUUUGUAUAAUGGGUCAGCGACUUAUAUUCUGUGGCGAGCUUAACCGUAUAGGGGAGGCGUAGCGAAAGCGAGUCUUAACUGGGCGACCAGUCGCAGGGUAUAGACCCGAAACCGGGCGAUCUAUCCAUGGCCAGGGUGAAGAUUGAGUAACAUCAAUUGGAGGCCCGAACCCAAGUAUGUUGAAAAAUGCUGGGAUGAGCUGUGGAUCGGAGUGAAAGGCUAAUCAAGCCCGGAGAUAGCUGGUUCUCCUCGAAAGCUAUUUAGGUAGCGCCUCACGUAUCACCGCUGGGGGUAGAGCACUGUUUCGGCUAGGGGGUCAUCCCGACUUACCAACCCGAGGCAAACUCCGAAUACCAGUGAGUGCAGCGUGGGAGACACACAGCGGGUGCUAACGUCCGUUGUGAAAAGGGAAACAACCCAGACCGUCAGCUAAGGUCCCAAAAUCCUGAUUAAGUGGGAAACGAUGUGGGAAGGCUCAGACAGCUAGGAGGUUGGCUUAGAAGCAGCCAUCCUUUAAAGAAAGCGUAAUAGCUCACUAGUCGAGUCGGCCUGCGCGGAAGAUAUAACGGGGCUAAAUCAGGUACCGAAGCUACGGGUUCAUCCUUAUGGAUGAGCGGUAGAGGAGCGUCGUGUAAGCCAAUGAAGGU